rnacentral:tRNA from 1 species
AUCUGUUUAAACCCAAGUGGACAUUUGAUUUGAAAUCAAAUAGAUUGUUUUUAAUAACAAUACAAAUU